GCUGGGCGUGGUGGCACACACCUGUAAUCCCAGCAGCAUGGGAGGCUGAGGCAGGAGGAUCUUGAGUUCAAAGCCAGCCUAAGCAACACAGUGAGCCACCACCCUAAAUGACUCAGCAAGACCCUGUCUCUU
rnacentral:sRNA from 1 species